rnacentral:lncRNA from 1 species
AUAAUUGGUGCCCAGUAAAUUGUAUCUCCCUUGACUCUCUACAGACAUCCUUCACACAAAGUAAAUGAUCAAUAACCAUUUGACUGGCUGCUUAACAAGUGGAACUAAUACAAAUGCUCUCAGUUAAUUUAGGAGGAAGAGCAGACAGAUAGAUCAAGUGCUUUAUGGAGGAGUUUGAGGACAGAGGGAAGGAAGCAAAUGUAAGACUUAAGUACAUCCCUGCUAAGUAUGAGAUAGCACUC